GAUCAGGCUCAGAUUGAACGCUGGCGGCAGGCCUAACACAUGCAAGUCGAACGGUAACAGGAAGAAGCUUGCUUCUUUGCUGACGAGUGGCGGACGGGUGAGUAAUGUCUGGGAAACUGCCUGAUGGAGGGGGAUAACUACUGGAAACGGUAGCUAAUACCGCAUAACGUCGCAAGACCAAAGAGGGGGACCUUCGGGCCUCUUGCCAUCGGAUGUGCCCAGAUGGGAUUAGCUUGUUGGUGGGGG
rnacentral:rRNA from 1 species